AGUGAACGCUGGCGGUAGACCUAACACAUGCAAGUCGAACGGCAGCACAGUAAGAGCUUGCUCUUGCGGGUGGCGAGUGGCGGACGGGUGAGGAAUACAUCGGAAUCUACUUUUUCGUGGGGGAUAACGUAGGGAAACUUACGCUAAUACCGCAUACGACCUACGGGUGAAAGCAGGGGAUCUUCGGACCUUGCGCGAUUGAAUGAGCCGAUGUCGGAUUAGCUAGUUGGCGGGGUAAAGGCCCACCAAGGCGACGAUCCGUAGCUGGUCUGAGAGGAUGAUCAGCCACACUGGAACUGAGACACGGUCCAGACUCCUACGGGAGGCAGCAGUGGGGAAUAUUGGACAAUGGGCGCAAGCCUGAUCCAGCCAUACCGCGUGGGUGAAGAAGGCCUUCGGGUUGUAAAGCCCUUUUGUUGGGAAAGAAAAGCAGCAGGUUAAUACCCCGCUGUUCUGACGGUACCCAAAGAAUAAGCACCGGCUAACUGCGU
rnacentral:rRNA from 1 species